rnacentral:sRNA from 1 species
CGCGAGGCCGGGUUUCGGCUCGCUGAACGGGCGCCGGAUCAGGCAGCCGGCGACCCUUGUCAUCACGUUGCUCCAAGGAGGAUGUGGUCAUGAGGA